CAGGGUAGCUAUGAUCGGACAGGAUAACCGCUGAAGGCAUCUAAGCGGGAAGCCCCCCUCAAAACAAGGUAUCCCUGAGGGCCGUGGUAGACCACCACGUCGAUAGGCCGGAGAUGUAAGCGCAGCAAUGCGUUCAGUUGACCGGUACUAAUGGCCCGAUAGGCUUGAUUUGAUCCAG
rnacentral:rRNA from 1 species